rnacentral:rRNA from 1 species
UAAUCUUAUUCUUAUUGUUUUUGUUUGUUGAUUAAUUUUUUUAUAAUAAAAUCAUUUUUACUUUUAAAAGUUUUAGUAUAGGAUAUAGAAUAAAUUUUUAAUAUGAUAGUUUAAUAGUAUUGUGAAAGACUGGUGAAAUAUUUUGAAAAGGUAAUUAAGUUAAAGUAGAUUUUGUUUUUCGUACCUUUUGUAUCAGGGUUCAUCAAAAAUUUGGCUUUAAGUUAGCUAUUCCCGAUUUGAAGAGAGCUAAUUAUUUAUAUGAAAGUUACUGUGGAAUAAUUAUUUUAAAUAUAUAAUUAGUAAUGAAACGUUAUCCGUUCUUUAAGAUAUCUGGUUUUCUAAGAGAUGAAUUUAAUUCAGGCUUAAUUUUUUAUUAUUUCUAUUUAUUGAUUUUUUAUUUAAUUUAAGCUAAUGUUGUGGGGGAUAAGCUCCGCAAUAUAUCUUUAUAAUUUAUUUGUAUUUAAAGGGUGCUAUAGGCUUAGAAUUUGCCAUUAGGUUAAGUAUGUUAUAAUUUACCUUAUUAUCUAUGUAAAUUUUCUGUUUUUUAAGUUUUUUAUUAGAAUAUAAACUUAAAUUUAAUAGGUUUAGAGUUAAUGAUGAAAUUAGUAUAAUUAUGUAUGUAGUAGAUUGUUUAUUAUAAUGGAAGGUUAUAUUAAGGAAUUCGGCAAAUUAGUGCUCGCCUGUUUAACAAAAACAUGUCCUCUUGAAUUUAAUAAUUUGAGGUCUGACCUGCCCACUGAGUUUAACUUAAAGGGCCGCGGUAUUUUGACCGUGCAAAGGUAGCAUAAUCAUUAGUCUUUUAAUUGAAGGCUAGAAUGAAUGGUUGGACGAGGUACUGACUGUCUCAGUAUAAUUGUUGUUAGAAUUUAACUUUUAAGUGAAAAGGCUUAAAUUUAAUUGGAGGACGAGAAGACCCUAUAGAGCUUUAUAUUUAUUUAUAGAAUAAUUUGUUUAGUUUAAUUUUUAUUAUUUUGUAAUAAUUAUUUUGUUGGGGUGACAGGAAGAUACAAUAAACUCUUUUUAAUUUUAAAACAUUAAUUUAUGAUUUGUUGAUCCAUUAAUAAUGAUUAAAAGACUAAGUUACCUUAGGGAUAACAGCGUAAUCUUUUUCGAGAGUUCUUAUCGACAAAAAGGGUUGCGACCUCGAUGUUGGAUUAAGAUUAAUUUUGGGUGUAGAUGUUCAAAGUUUAGGUCUGUUCGACCUUUAAAAUCUUACAUGAUCUGAGUUCAGACCGGUGUAAGCCAGGUCGGUUUCUAUCCUUAAUAAGAUUUAAUGUUUUAGUACGAAAGGACCAAGCAUUGAGAAUAUUUUUCUUUUAAAUUUGAUUAACAUUAAUUUAUGAA